UGCAGAAUCCCGUGAACCAUCGAGUUUUUGAACGCAAGUUGCGCCCAAAGCCAUUCGGCCGAGGGCACGUCUGCCUGGGCGUCACAC
rnacentral:rRNA from 1 species